rnacentral:ncRNA from 2 species
UACUUAUCUAGAGAGGCUUAGGGACUGGCCCGAUGAAGCCCGGCAACCUGCAUAGCAAGGUGCUAACUCCAGCAAAAUGGUUACAUUUUGGAAGAUAAGGU